rnacentral:rRNA from 1 species
UACGUAGGGUGCGAGCGCUGUCCGGAAUUACUGGGCGUAAAGAGCUUGUAGGCGGUUCGUCGCGUCGAUCGUGAAAACCUACCGCUCAACGGUGGGCUUGCGGUCGAUACGGGCGGACUAGAGUACUUCAGGGGAGACUGGAAUUCCUGGUGUAGCGGUGAAAUGCGCAGAUAUCAGGAGGAACACCGGUGGCGAAGGCGGGUCUCUGGGCCACUACUGACGCUGAGAAGCGAAAGCAUGGGGAGCGAACAGG